CAGGCCUCCCAGACAGCUGCAUGACUACAUCUCUUACUUCCUUCAACUAUGUUCAAAUUAUACCUUUGGCCAGGCGCGGUGGCUCAUGCCUGUAAUCCCAGCACUUUGAGAGACCGAGGUGGGUAGAUUACUUGAGGCCAGGAGUUCGAUACUAGCCUGGCCAACAUGGUGAAACCCCAUCUCUACCAAAAAUUAGCCGGGUGUGGUGGCACAGCUACUCAGGAGGCUGUGGCACAGCUACUCAGGAGGCUGUGGCACAAGAUCGCUUGAACCCGGGAGGCCAAGGUUGCAGUGAGCCAAGUUCUCACCACUGCCCUCCAGCCUGGGUGACAGAGCAAAACUCCCUCUCAUGAGGCUUACCUUGACCUAUUUAACUUGCUACUCUCCAAACCCCCUUACUCUGCUAUUUUUAUUUCUGCUCUUAUAACUGUCUGACAUACUUAUGUAUGAUGUUUGUAUCCAUUUAUCGUAUUCAUUGUUUAUUAUCUGUAUUUCUUCUGUAGGAUAAAAGAUCUAGAAGAACAAGAUGUAUUUAUGAGAACCUCCCCAUGCAUCUAAAAGAAUGUCUGGCACGUUGCAGGUUCAAUAAGUUAAUGAAUAACUACAGUGUCUGCCAAGUAGGGUGAAAACUGGUUUUUGCAGUCAGAGCUUGGGUGAUUCCUGGCCUUUCA
rnacentral:lncRNA from 10 species